rnacentral:sRNA from 1 species
GCUGGGAACAGUGGUGAAUGCUUGCAAUCCCAGGUACUGGGAGGCUGAGGCAGGAGGACUCCAAGUUUGGGACCAGUUUCAAACUUAGUGUCUCAAAUAAGACAGUGAGAACCUGCCUCAA